rnacentral:rRNA from 1 species
AGUGGGGAAUAUUGGACAAUGGGCGCAAGCCUGAUCCAGCCAUGCCGCGUGAGUGAUGAAGGCCUUAGGGUUGUAAAGCUCUUUCGUCAGGGAAGAUAAUGACGGUACCUGAAGAAGAAGCCCCGGCUAACUUCGUGCCAGCAGCCGCGGUAAUACGAAGGGGGCUAGCGUUGCUCGGAAUCACUGGGCGUAAAGCGCACGUAGGCGGCUUUCUAAGUCAGGGGUGAAAUCCCGGGGCUCAACCCCGGAACUGCCUUUGAUACUGGAGAGCUUGAGUUCGAGAGAGGUGAGUGGAACUGCGAGUGUAGAGGUGAAAUUCGUAGAUAUUCGCAAGAACACCAGUGGCGAAGGCGGCUCACUGGCUCGAUACUGACGCUGAGGUGCGAAAGCGUGGGGAGCAAA